UACGUAGGUGACUAGCGUUGUCCGGAUUUACUGGGCGUAAAGAGCGCGCAGGCGGUCGUGCAAGUCGAGUGUGAAAGCCCCCGGCUCAACUGGGGAGGGUCACUCGAUACUGCUCGACUCGAAGGCGGGAGAGGGAAGUGGAAUUCCCGGUGUAGUGGUGAAAUGCGUAGAUAUCGGGAGGAACACCAGUGGCGAAGGCGACUUCCUGGCCCGUUCUUGACGCUGAGGCGCGAAAGCUAGGGGAGCAAACGGG
rnacentral:rRNA from 3 species